GAUGAACGCUGGCGGCGUGCCUCAUACAUGCAAGUCGAGCGAACGGACGAGAAGCUUGCUUCUCUGAUGUUAGCGGCGGACGGGUGAGUAACACGUGGAUAACCUACCUAUAAGACUGGGAUAACUUCGGGAAACCGGAGCUAAUACCGGAUAAUAUUUUGAACCGCAUGGUUCAAAAGUGAAAGACGGUCUUGCUGUCACUUAUAGAUGGAUCCGCGCUGCAUUAGCUAGUUGGUAAGGUAACGGCUUACCAAGGCAACGAUGCAUAGCCGACCUGAGAGGGUGAUCGGCCACACUGGAACUGAGACACGGUCCAGACUCCUACGGGAGGCAGCAGUAGGGAAUCUUCCGCAAUGGGCGAAAGCCUGACGGAGCAACGCCGCGUGAGUGAUGAAGGUCUUCGGAUCGUAAAACUCUGUUAUUAGGGAAGAACAUAUGUGUAAGUAACUGUGCACAUCUUGACGGUACCUAAUCAGAAAGCCACGGCUAACUACGUGCCAGCAGCCGCGGUAAUACGUAGGUGGCAAGCGUUAUCCGGAAUUAUUGGGCGUAAAGCGCGCGUAGGCGGUUUUUUAAGUCUGAUGUGAAAGCCCACGGCUCAACCGUGGAGGGUCAUUGGAAACUGGAAAACUUGAGUGCAGAAGAGGAAAGUGGAAUUCCAUGUGUAGCGGUGAAAUGCGCAGAGAUAUGGAGGAACACCAGUGGCGAAGGCGACUUUCUGGUCUGUAACUGACGCUGAUGUGCGAAAGCGUGGGGAUCAAACAGGAUUAGAUACCCUGGUAGUCCACGCCGUAAACGAUGAGUGCUAAGUGUUAGGGGGUUUCCGCCCCUUAGUGCUGCAGCUAACGCAUUAAGCACUCCGCCUGGGGAGUACGACCCGCAGGUUUG
rnacentral:rRNA from 1 species